rnacentral:rRNA from 1 species
CCCUUAGAUGUUCUGGGCCGCACGCGCGCUACACUGAUGCAUUCAACGAGCCUAUCCUUGACCGACAGGUCCGGGUAAUCUUUGAAUCUGCAUCGUGACGGGGAUAGAUUAUUGCAAUUAUUAAUCUUCAACGAGGAAUGCCUAGUAGGCGCAAGUCAGCAGCUUGCGUUGAUUACGUCCCUGCCCUUUGUACACACCGCCCGUCGCUACUACCGAUUGAAUGGUUUAGUGAGAUCUUCGGAUUGGCGCCACUGCGGCUCAGCAAUGGGCUCGGUGGAUGCCGAAAAGUUGAUCAAACUUGAUCAUUUAGAGGAAGUAAAAGUCGUAACA